AGGGGAAGACUCACAUAGAGGCAGCAGUAGAGAAUCUUGUGCAAUAAACGAAAGUAUGACACAGAGAGGACACAUUUAAUUGAGCCCGUCAAAUUAAGUGCCAGCCGACGCGGUUAAACUUAAGGGCUGGUCUUUAUAAGUAAAAAGGCGUAAAGGAUGUGUAGGCCAAGAAACGAUCCAAGUAGGUAAAUGGAAUUUUUCUGGAGCGGUAGAAUGUGAGGAUAGAAAAUAGAACCCCUAAGGUAAAAACUAUUUACUACAAGGUAGGCUGAAACAUGAGAGUGUGGGGAGCAAACAGGAUUAGAGACCCUGGUAGUCCACACUGUGAACUUUGAAGAUGAUGCUUAGCAGACCCGAAAGGUAAAAUCUUCCGCCUGAGUAGUACGAUCGCAAGAUUAAAAUUCAAAAACUUUGGCUGUUCACUAUUUCGAUUAGAGGAGCGUGUAGUUUAAUUCGAUGGUCCGCGUGUUACCUUACCCCAACUUGAAUCUGUGACCGGUAUUGCAUGGCCGUCGUAAGUUCGUGUAUUAAGCUAGAAGGGACCCAACCCGGGCAUUUGCCCGGAGGAAGUCAGGUCUUAUGAUCCGAAUGUUGGGGGAUUUUAUGCGCUACAUUUUCUUAUAUAAUGAGAAACCUGGAAGGUGAGUCUCUAAAGUAAGAGUUCGGAAGGUCGCUGUAAGACGACUGGAAGUUGGAUUUAAUAGUAAUCGGAAAGUAGGGCGUUCCGGUGAAUUGGUACAAGUGUUAGCACAAAUUGCCCGUCACCUUUACUUAGAAUGGUUAUUCGGAUGUCUUCGGUGAUUAUGAAUGCCUACGAGGUA
rnacentral:rRNA from 1 species